UUUGAGACGAAAUGUAAUAACAUGCCAUGUUUUUAAAUUCGAUAGUUAUUUUCAUUGUCAUUUUCUGUGAUUAAUUGUAAUAUGAAAUUCAUAUUUUUUAAUAUUGAAGAAAUUUGAUUAUUUGGAAUCUUCAUUAUUACCAAUUCUAGUUUAAAAAUCUAAAUUCUAUUAUUUAGAGGAAUGGUGGUUAAGUUGAGAUUUGCAUUAGAUUUUGAGAUUAGGGUUUAUAGUUUAGAGUUUUGGGUUUAUAUUUGGGUUUAGGAUUUAGUGAUUAGUGUUUAGGGUUUAGUAAUUUAAAUUUCGUUCUCAAACUUGGUCAUUUGACAAAUGUAAAUGGAGUGGACCAAUAUUUCUAUACUAUUUAUAGAGGUUUCUUACUAUGUCAUGUACAUUGAGAAAAUUGACAACAUAUUAUAUAAAUUUUGUUUGGGCUUAUACUUUAGUUAUUUGGGUUUAGAUUUAGUAACUUGGGGUUUGUUUAGGAUUUUAGUAUUUAAGUGGUUGAGUAGAGUUUAGUGUUUAGGGUUUAUCUCUGGGUUUACAGUUUAGUGAUUACGGUUUAGGAUUUAUAUUUGGGUUUAGGGUUUAGUGAUUAGGGUUUAGGGUUUAUAUUUGGGUUUAGGGUUUAGUGAUUAGGGUUUAGGGUUUAGUGAUUAGUGUUUGGGUUUAUAUCUGGGUUUAAGAUUUAGUGAUUAGGGUUUAGGGUUUAUAUUUGGGUUUAGGGUUUAUAUUUGGGUUUAGGGUUUAGUGAUUAGGGUUUAGGGUUUAUAUUUGGGUUUAGGGUUUAUAUUUGGGUUUAGGUUUAGUGAUUAGGGUUUAGGGUUUAUGGUUUAGUAAUUUCUUUUUCAAACUAGAGUUUAGGGUUUAUAUGUCAUGUCUUCAAAUUUAAUAUUUAUCUUUUAUGCCGUUUUGUAUGAUUGUUCGUAAUAUAAAAUUAGUUUCAUUCAAAUGUUUGAGAAUGUUUGGGUCAUGUUUAGUUCAAGAACGUCUUUUUCAUCAAUAAGUAUUUUUAUUUUUUCUCGUACUAUUUUACAUAUGAUGCUCAACUAAUAUAAAUAGAACAAACAUUUGUAUACUAUUUUAUACAAUGAUCCAUACUAUGUAUGCAUAGUACUUGAAAAUAUUAUAAAAUAUUAUAUAUUCUAAAUUUUAAUUUUUUUAAAUAUAUAUUAUAGCUUAGAUUUGGGUUUAGGAUUUAGUGGCGAGAGUUUAGAGUUUAGUAUGAUAUUUUCCACCUUUAUAUACUAUAGUUUAAUAUCACAAUAUAUUAUAUAUAUUUUUCAGAUUUUAAUUGUAUUUUAAAAUUAUAAAUAUAUAAUAUAGUUUACAUUUAGUUUGGGUUUAGUGAUCCAUUUAGGGUUUAGUAUUUAAAAGUUGGAGUUAGAUUUAGGUUUAUUAUUGAGUUUAUGGUUUAUAUUUUGAUUUAGGGUUUAGUGAUUAGGGUUUAAGGUUUAGUAUUUAGAGAUUAGUUUCAGAAUGAGAUAAGUUUUAGUAUCUAGAUUUAAGAGUUGAUGUAUAAUUAGUAUUCUAUAUUAUUUUGGUGAUAUGAAGUAGAAUUAAUGAAAUGUUUGUGGUUAUAUGUAUGUGAUGUGGUUGUGUUAUUUUUCUUUUGUUGAUGACAGUUUGCAUUAAUUAUUGGCCACACUUGGAUUUUGUCAACGUCAUCUUCACAUCUUUAACCUACCGGUAACUUGUACGAAUCAAGGGUAAAACCAGUGGAAAUGAAGCACAAUUGAUAGAUAAUACAUUAUGUCAAAAUCAGUGCUAUGCACUUAAUUU
rnacentral:lncRNA from 1 species